GGCACUGUAUGGUAUCUGCAUCCAACAGCGUGCUCCUGGUGGCAUGUUCAAAAAAACAGUGCAAUAACAAUUCAGUAUGUGGCAUCGUUGGUUUUCAGGCGGCUGUGCUUGUUCAACCUGGUAUUUUUGCUGAAACAAGU